rnacentral:rRNA from 1 species
GUGAACGCUGGCGGUAGGCCUAACACAUGCAAGUCGAACGGCAGCACAGUAAGAGCUUGCUCUUACGGGUGGCGAGUGGCGGACGGGUGAGGAAUACAUCGGAAUCUACUUUUUCGUGGGGGAUAACGUAGGGAAACUUACGCUAAUACCGCAUACGACCUACGGGUGAAAGCAGGGGACCUUCGGGCCUUGCGCGAUUGAAUGAGCCGAUGUCGGAUUAGCUAGUUGGCGGGGUAAAGGCCCACCAAGGCGACAAUCCGUAGCUGGUCUGGGCGGAGCGUCAGCCACACUGGAACUGAGACACGGUCCAGACUCCUACGGGAGGCAGCAGUGGGGAAUAUUGGACAAUGGGCGCAAGCCUGAUCCAGCCAUACCGCGUGGGUGAAGAAGGCCUUCGGGUUGUAAAGCCCUUUUGUUGGGAAAGAAAAGCAGCAGGCUAAUACCCCGCUGUUCUGACGGUACCCAAAGAAUAAGCACCGGCUAACUUCGUGCCAGCCGCCGCCGUAACAC